rnacentral:piRNA from 1 species
UAGAUGCACAUUCUGAGGCAAGACCCAUGC